AGAGUUUGAUCAUGGCUCAGAAUCAACGCUGGCGGCGUGCCUCAGACAUGCAAGACGAACGAUUAAGACUUCCUUCGGGAAGUGCAUAAAGUGGCGCACGGGUGAGUAACACGUAAGUAAUCUACCUUCGAGUGGGGAAUAACAUCGGGAAACCGAUGCUAAUACCGCAUAAUGCAGCGGCACCUAAUGGUGACAGUUGUUAAAGGAGCAAUUCGCUUGAAGAGGAGCUUGCGGCAGAUUAGCUAGUUGGUAAGGUAAUGGCUUACCAAGGCUACGAUCUGUAUCCGGUCUAAGAGGACGGUCGGACACACUGACACUGAAAUACGGGUCAGACUCCUACGGGAGGCAGCAGUCGGGGAUUUUGGGGCAUGGGCGAAAGCCUGA
rnacentral:rRNA from 1 species